rnacentral:misc_RNA from 1 species
CGACGUUCAUUUCUAAACCAUCGGCAUCCAACAGCAGCAGUGGCGUGUCAAGGAGCUUCAUGAUUCCAGCACCGACUGAGAAGAUCGAGAUGUUCUCCCCGGCUUACUAUGCAACGUGUACCGUUGGUGGGAUAUUAAGCUGUGGCCCCACUCACACGGCUGUCACUCCUCUCGAUCUCGUGAAGUGCAAUAUGCAGAUUGACCCAUCAAAGUACAAGAGCAUCACAUCUGGAUUUGGAGUCUUGCUCAAGGAGCAGGGAGUUAAAGGUUUCUUUAGGGGAUGGGUGCCCACCCUUCUUGGUUACAGCGCACAGGGUG